AGAGCGAACGCUGGCGGCAGGCCUAACACAUGCAAGUCGAACGGACCCUUCGGGGUUAGUGGCGGACGGGUGAGUAACACGUGGGAACGUGCCUUUGGUUCGGAAUAGCUCCUGGAAACGGGUGGUAAUGCCGAAUGUGCCCUUCGGGGGAAAGAUUUAUCGCCAUUAGAGCGGCCCGCGUCUGAUUAGCUAGUUGGUAAGGUAAUGGCUUACCAAGGCGACGAUCAGUAGCUGGUCUGAGAGGAUGACCAGCCACAUUGGGACUGAGACACGGCCCAAACUCCUACGGGAGGCAGCAGUGGGGAAUCGUUGCGCAAUGGGCGAAAGCCUGACGCAGCCAUGCCGCGUGAAUGAUGAAGGUCUAGGAUUGUAAAAUUCUUCACCGGGGACGAUAAUGACGGUACCGGAGAAGAAGCCCGGCUAACUCGUGCCAGCAGCCGC
rnacentral:rRNA from 1 species